rnacentral:misc_RNA from 1 species
AAAUCGGAGCCUUCGUUUCCUGUGUGUCAAUUUCAUUUAAACACAAAAUGUGAGUUUCAUUGUCAGACAUGUUACAUUGCAGUGUGUUCGAAAUGUAUUACGACUGGCCACAAGUUUCACAAGAUUGUAGAUUUGAUGGAAAUUUUCAAGUCAAAAUUGGAUUCAAUUCAGCAAAGUUCAGACGACUUAGAAAUGGUAUGUCUUCCCAAAUUCCAAAAUAUACUUUCUCAUUCGGAAUUGCGGUUAACAACAAUUGCUACUGAAUAUCAGAUUCUGAAGUCUGCCAUUAAGAAACAUGGACAGGAUAUGCACCGUAUUGUGGAUGUCGUAACUAAGCGAUUCGAAGACGAGGCUGAAAAAAUGGAGCAUGAAUCGAUGACUGAAUUGAAGAACCAUAUAUCAGAAACCAGACGGUCGAUUGAAGAAAUGCAUAGCCUAAUAGAAGAAAAUAAACGCUUAAUGCUAUCAAACGAUGUUGGAAAGGCGCUGUCUUAUGAUGCUGACAUAGAGAGAUAUCGGAAAGGAAAACAAGAAAUUAGAGCCUUGGUUCCAGAUUUCAAGCGAGUUAGUCUAACGACGGACGAGCUUUGUUGUCUGUUUGGGUCAUUGAAGACACCAGAGAAAGAAGGUUUUAUCGAAAAGAACAUUAUAAAAGACACGGGGAAAGAAAUUUUACCGAGAGUUGCAAAAGAGUUUCUAUUGAUGCCGAGUAUAUCGGCUACAAUAGACAGCGGUUCCGACCACGUUCAACGUGUCUGUUGUCAAGAGACGGACGAAGUUUGGGUCAGUGGGAAUGGUUCAGUCAUUACACGCGUAGACAUGGAGGGAAAUGUCAGGGAAAUCCUCCACACUUCUUCUGGCUAUGUUCCACAUGAUCUCGACGUCACUGAACCCGGGGAACUGCUUUACUGUGACAGUACCGAGAAAACCGUUAACGUAGUGCAGAACGGAAAACAGAGGGCGUUCUUGCAAUACCAGAACUGGCGACCAAUGGGCAUCGCUGUGACUGUAGCAGGGGAGAUAAUUGUUAGUUUGUAUAGCGACUUAGAAGGGUGUAGCAAAGUGAUAAAAUAUUGUCUUGGGAGGAAUGAAGAACAAGGUCAGGAAACAUUGUCACUAGAGAGGCUGCAACCCAAACUUAGAAAGGUCAUACAGUACGACGAAAGAGGUGAAAAUCUCUACAGAUACGCGACCUUCGUUGCCGAAAACGGCGUCAAUAAUGACAUAUGCGUGUCUGACCAUGGGACAAAUACAGUAGUUGUCGUCAAUCACGAAGGAAAGUUCCGAUUCGUCUACCACAACAUAUUGUCCCAACGCAAGUACGAUACCUUCUUCCCGUGCAGUAUCGUGACCGACAGUCAAGGUCAUAUCCUGAUAGCGGACGGCGACAACGACUGCAUUCACGUGAUCGACUGCAAUCGACAGUUUCUUUGCUACAUCGACAACUGCAGCUUUGCAGGUGUGUGCGGGAUCGACAUCGACUUUGCAGAUAAGCUGUGGAUAGGAGAAGUCGACUCGGGGAAGAUUAAGGUUGUUGAAUAUUUGCAACUUGCGGACGAAUGACAAAGAGUGUUUAAAGAGAGGAUAUACAUACAAUGUAGGCUAUUCCUGUUGUCCAAUCCAAUUGAAUUUAUUCAAUAAAAUUUGAUUAAACUG